AAAAAAGGUAAGCUACUAAGAGCGAAUGGUGGAUGCCUUGACUGGUAAAGGCGAUGAAGGACGUACUAGACUGCGAUAAGCUACGGGGAGCUGUCAAGAAGCUUUGAUCCGUAGAUUUCCGAAUGGGGCAACCCAAUGUAUAGAGAUAUACAUUACCUAUAUAGGAGCGAACGAGGGGAAUUGAAACAUCUUAGUACCCUCAGGAAAAGAAAUCAAUAGAGAUUGCGUCAGUAGCGGCGAGCGAAAGCGCAAGAGGGCAAACCCAGUGCUUGCACUGGGGGUUGUAGGACUGCAAUGUGCAAGAGCUGAGUUUAGCAGAACAUUCUGGAAAGUAUAGCCAUAGAGGGUGAUAGUCCCGUAUGCGAAAAACAAAGCUUAGCUAGCAGUAUCCUGAGUAGGGCGGGACACGAGGAAUCCUGUCUGAAUCCGGGUCGACCACGAUCCAACCCUAAAUACUAAUACCAGAUCGAUAGUGCACAAGUACCGUGAGGGAAAGGUGAAAAGAACUGAGGUGAUCAGAGUGAAAUAGAACCUGAAACCAUUUGCUUACAAUCAUUCAGAGCACUAUGUAGCAAUACAGUGUGAUGGACUGCCUUUUGCAUAAUGAGCCUGCGAGUUGUGGUGUCUGGCAAGGUUAAGCAAACGCGAAGCCGUAGCGAAAGCGAGUCUGAAUAGGGCGCUUAGUCAGAUGCUGCAGACCCGAAACGAAGUGAUCUAUCCAUGAGCAAGUUGAAGCUAGUGUAAGAACUAGUGGAGGACUGAACCCAUAGGCGUUGAAAAGCCCCGGGAUGACUUGUGGAUAGGGGUGAAAGGCCAAUCAAACUUCGUGAUAGCUGGUUCUCUCCGAAAUAUAUUUAGGUAUAGCGUUGUGUCGUAAUAUAAGGGGGUAGAGCACUGAAUGGGCUAGGGCAUACACCAAUGUACCAAACCCUAUCAAACUCCGAAUACCUUAUAUGUAAUCACAGCAGUCAGGCGGCGAGUGAUAAAAUCCGUCGUCAAGAGGGAAACAACCCAGACUACCAGCUAAGGUCCCUAAAUCUUACUUAAGUGGAAAACGAUGUGAAGUUACUUAAACAACCAGGAGGUUGGCUUAGAAGCAGCCAUCCUUUAAAGAAAGCGUAAUAGCUCACUGGUCUAGUGAUUUUGCGCGGAAAAUAUAACGGGGCUAAAGUAAGUACCGAAGCUGUAGACUUGCGCACAACUUAGAUUAUUUAAGUUUAGAAUAUGAGAAACUAAGUUAUAUUUUUACUGAUUUUUAUAGAGUAAAGAUAGAAAUAAAACUUAGUAAAAUCAGUAAAAAUAUUCUUAGGCUAAAGUUAAGUAGUUUAAGUUGUGUGCAAGUGGUAGGAGAGCGUUCUAUUUGCGUCGAAGGUAUACCGGUAAGGAGUGCUGGAGCGAAUAGAAGUGAGCAUGCAGGCAUGAGUAGCGAUAAUUAAUGUGAGAAUCAUUAACGCCGUAAACCCAAGGUUUCCUACGCGAUGCUCGUCAUCGUAGGGUUAGUCGGGUCCUAAGUCGAGUCCGAAAGGGGUAGACGAUGGCAAAUUGGUUAAUAUUCCAAUACCAACAUUAGUGUGCGAUGGAAGGACGCUUAGGGCUAAGGGGGCUAGCGGAUGGAAGUGCUAGUCUAAGGUCGUAGGAGGUUAUACAGGCAAAUCCGUAUAACAAUACUCCGAGAACUGAAAGGCUUUUUGAAGUCUUCGGAUGGAUAGAAGAACCCCUGAUGCCGUCGAGCCAAGAAAAGUUUCUAAGUUUAGCUAAUGUUGCCCGUACCGUAAACCGACACAGGUGGGUGGGAUGAGUAUUCUAAGGCGCGUGGAAGAACUCUCUUUAAGGAACUCUGCAAAAUAGCACCGUAUCUUCGGUAUAAGGUGUGGUUAGCUUCGUACUAGGAUUUACUCCGAAAGCGAAGAAACUUACAACAAAGAGUCCCUCCCGACUGUUUACCAAAAACACAGCACUCUGCUAACUCGUAAGAGGAUGUAUAGGGUGUGACGCCUGCCCGGUGCUCGAAGGUUAAUUGAUGGGGUUAGCAUUAGCGAAGCUCUUGAUCGAAGCCCGAGUAAACGGCGGCCGUAACUAUAACGGUCCUAAGGUAGCGAAAUUCCUUGUCGGUUAAAUACCGACCUGCAUGAAUGGCGUAACGAGAUGGGAGCUGUCUCAAAGAGGGAUCCAGUGAAAUUGUAGUGGAGGUGAAAAUUCCUCCUACCCGCGGCAAGACGGAAAGACCCCGUGGACCUUUACUACAGCUUGACACUGCUACUUGGAUAAGAAUGUGCAGGAUAGGUGGGAGGCUUUGAGUAUAUGACGCCAGUUGUAUAUGAGCCAUUGUUGAGAUACCACUCUUUCUUAUUUGGGUAGCUAACCAGCUUGAGUUAUCCUCAAGUGGGACAAUGUCUGGUGGGUAGUUUGACUGGGGCGGUCGCCUCCCAAAUAAUAACGGAGGCUUACAAAGGUUGGCU
rnacentral:rRNA from 1 species